rnacentral:lncRNA from 1 species
CUGCUUCCAUCAGGACUACUCCAUGGCUUGAGUAUCUUCAUUUAUUAUUGAGUAGAUUAUUUGAUUUACUAAGCAUUUAUAAUUGUGUUGACGUUACUUCAUUCUUUUUAACUGUAAAACAAUAUUCUUUUUAAUGUUUAUAUUAUUCCCUUCUUUUUAACGCUGAUUUUAAAUAUGUAUUAGGGGAUGUCUACUGAAAACAUGCAUUCAUUGCCUCUGGGCAGAUGUACAGCCUGAAACACAAAUAAUGAUUUUACAGAAGCAAACGGAAUUGCUGAGCAGGUGCUCCUCAGGAAAAAAGAGACCAGACAGGAUCCAAGCUUGCCAGAAAAAGGGGAGAAAUGUAGAAUCAUUAGCAUCUUUGAUUUGUUGAGAUUUAACAGUGAUAUAACCUUAGACUCCAAGUCAGGAUGAGAAAGCAGGGGAAGUGGGUAAGACGGCAGCAGGGAAAGAAUGGCAUCCCUGUAGCUCUCUUCACUGAGAGUGUGGAUUCUUCUUUAGAAUAGGCUCUUCAGAAGAAAAAUAAAGAAAAUCCAAGUAAUAAUGAAAACCCAAGAAAACUUUGAGAAAUCAGCUCUUCAAGGAAAUGGCUCAGGAUGUAAUGUUAAAUAAGCUAUGGAAACCAUCAGUGUGUUUGUGGAGACUAUGUCUACAAUAGGGCACAUAUGGAAUUAUCUGCUUAUCAGAUUUUUCUAUUAGUUAGGUAUGCAAUAUGCUCCAUCAACAUUGGGCAACACUGAUCUGCACUUUGUUAAACUUCCCUUCCUUCCCUUUAUUCACUUCACUGUGGUCUCUUGGUGACUCCCUCCUUUUAGUCAUGGUACAGCCUCUGCAACACAGCAGACGUCUCUCACUUGCUGAUAAUCAUAGCAGUCACUACUUGUUCAUUGCCUGCUAUAGAUCUGAAACUACCUGCACUACAAGGGUGAGCUAGAGCAGAGAGUUUAUUUAGAAGGUGAUUCUAGGUUAGGAGGACAGAUUAAGUGAGGAGAAUGAGUUAAGGAAGGAGGAAAAGCCAAUCCAAGAGGGUGUUAAGGUUAUCAUUGCGUGUAGUGGGGGCUUCUUUCCACUGAGGCCCCUGAGAAAGUGCAGGGUGCUGCCCAGAAUUGCUCCUAACUUCCAGGACUGACUGCUUCUGCACCCCUUUGGGUGAGGGGUGCUCCUAGGGGUGAUAACACUGCUGUGGUUCAGGACUGGGCUCGCCGGAGCCCAGCAGACUCCUGCAGCCUUGGAAAAGGCCCUGAGGAGAAAAACAGAACGGUCCAGUAGUGCAGGGUGUGCACUGCAGAGCAGAUUGGCUGGGUAAAGUGGGUUUCUGUGCUGCUUUAGGGGAAAGGCAGGUAUGGUCUAGAGAAUCUAAUUCUCAUAUCAACUUUGUUAACUUUAAGCUUCCAAGUGAAGCACUGUCAAGAGAAAGAGGAUUUCAUGAAUUUGCUUUACUACUUACAGAACCAAGCACAGAGGACUCAGACAAAAGGUUUCUUUUCCACUUCUUGUAGCAGGAAAUCAACAAUGUUUUAGAUCAAAGCUGUUCCAUUUUCCUGGAUCCUAGUGGGGAGCUAACAUGGCGCAGAGCCACAGCCAAUCCAAGGACAUGUGGUACCUCCUGACAGCAGGCUUGACACCAGCUACUGUCCAGCUCCCCAGUAAACCAGAUUCCCUCAUUGCUCCUAAUGGGGUCUAGACUGCAGGAGGAGGAAGCAGGUGGGCAAUGUCCAGAUUUCCAUGAUGACCCUCUGAGGAGAUAUCCGUGGCUAGGUUACUGCACGACUACAGCAUCACAGAGGAGACUCCAGAACUCAAACUACCAAGAGCACCCCUCCAUCAGCUUUGUUUCCUAACUCCUGGCCUGCCUCCUUUCUUGUGGCGCCAUCUCACAGCCAAAUGACAACAAGCCCUCUCUGUCCCUCACAAAAUGCCUGUGAUAAAAAGUUCCCUUUGCAGCCAGACCAGCUGAGACUGGUACAUAGAACCAAGACAGCUGACCAAAGGACUUCAAAAAGACCUCAGUCUUCAUGAUAAUCUUAUUUCCAUGCUAAAUGAUACUCCCUCCAGCACCACGACAGUUGACAAUUGCCAUGACAAUGACUGGAAGAAGCCGUAAAAGGACUAAAAGGGAGGCGGUACUACUGAUUCCAGGAGGUUCACCACCCACUUCUGGAAAAGACAUGAAUAUUCUUCCCUUUUCUUUUAAUGUCACCUCCUUCAUUAGAGAAAUCCUGUAUCUUAAGCCCCUCACCCUCACUUGUUGAGAAGUUGAUUGUGAGCCAUCUCCUGCUUCUCAAUUCCACGGCCAUUGAAUAAAGCCUGCACUGCUUGACACUCACUUUUGGUUUUGUGUAUUGGCUUUGUGAUACUGAAUAAGGAAAGACUCCAUCUUUGGUAAGACCAGCUUUGUCAGUAACAACCUGAGUAGUCAUAUAGGGCCCAAGGCUUAGUUGUGUUUACUUGGUUUAAUGCUUUGCUGUCUCUGUUGUAAAACUCUUGUUAAUUUUUGAACAAGAGCCCCAAAUUUUCAUUUGCACUGGGCCCCACAAAUUAUAUAGCUGGCGCUUUGGGGAGGAGACCAAUCCCUUUCCAGGUGACUGACACUACUAACUCUUCAUACUGGGUCUGGUCUGAUUGCUUUUUCUAAACCAGUGGGGCAGAAAGGAACUCGUGUUUCUUUGGGCCCUGACCUAGGUACUCCUGAAAGUAUCGUGCCAUUUAAUUCCCGUUUUACCAAAGAAGAGCAAAGGCUUUGCUUUUCCAUGUCACUUGCCCAAGGCCACAUAACUAAUAAAUGGAGUCUGAGUCAGGAGUCUACUGCCAAAAACUGGGCCUUCCAACCCUUCUGCCAUAAGUAAACUUAAAAUCCAUCCAGGAGUUACACAUAUCAGUGCAGGAAGGGAGGGUUGAUUCUUGCCUAAGACAAUAAGAUAUGCUUUUUUGGUAUACAUCAUUUAAAAGCAAUUGAUUUUUAAAAUCCCAAAAGGGAAAA